rnacentral:lncRNA from 1 species
AAAUAAAAAUUAAAUUUUGAUCUAAAGCAAUGCGGAGCGGGAUCCGAUCUGAGUUAAAAACAAAAAAAAUGAAAUAACUUAAAAGCAAAUCUGGUUACCCUUUUGAAAACCCAAGUGCAUAGAUCCAAAGUCGGAACUCAACGAUCAAUAAUAACCAAAUAAAUGAAUUUUCACAGAGUCGACACUCAAAAACAGAGCAGUGAGCAGUAAUAAAUGCCCUGUUAGUAUCUAUGAAGACGAGUGAGAAAAUGAAAACCAGAGGCUGAGGCUCUGACGUUCAGUGUCUCUGAAGAAGAAGAAGAAG